AUGUUUAACACUCUGGAGACCGCAGCUCCUCGGCGAGCGGGGCCUGUAGCCUGUCCUGGCAUUAGUUGGCGACCUGGGCGCCCCUGGCAGUCCUACAUGACUAGGAAGUGUGUGGGGAGGCGGAAGGACAUGCGGUCGAGGCCAUCACCACAGCGCCAUCGCCGGCGACCACCCAAAGUGGUCCAAGAGAGGGACGACAGCGGCCGCCGGCGACCAUCCAGAGUGGUACAAGAGUGGGAUCCCGGCAAAAGAAAAGGGUACAAGAGUGGGACGACAGCGGCGGCGUCCUACAUCCCCGGUCAGCGCCCCCAGAAGGACUCGAGCCCCUAG
rnacentral:rRNA from 1 species